rnacentral:rRNA from 1 species
GAUGAACGCUGGCGGCGUGCUUAACACAUGCAAGUCGAACGAAGCACUUUGAAAGCUUGCUUUUAAAGUGACUGAGUGGCGGACGGGUGAGUAACGCGUGGGUAACCUGCCUCACACAGGGGGAUAACAGUUAGAAAUGACUGCUAAUACCGCAUAAGCCCCCGGUACCGCAUGGUACAGAGGGAAAAGAUUUAUCGGUGUGAGAUGGACCCGCGUCUGAUUAGCUAGUUGGUGGGGUAACGGCCUACCAAGGCGACGAUCAGUAGCCGACCUGAGAGGGCGACCGGCCACAUUGGGACUGAGACACGGCCCAAACUCCUACGGGAGGCAGCAGUGGGGAAUAUUGCACAAUGGGCGCAAGCCUGAUGCAGCGACGCCGCGUGAGUGAAGAAGUAUUUCGGUAUGUAAAGCUCUAUCAGCAGGGAAGAUAAUGACAGUACCUGACUAAGAAGCUCCGGCUAAAUACGUGCCAGCAGCCGCAGUAACAC